GACGAACGCUGGCGGCGUGCUUAACACAUGCAAGUCGAACGGAAAGACCCUGCUUGCUUCUGGUGCUCGAGCGGCGAACGGGUGAAUAACAUGUGAAUAACCUGCCCUUGACUUGGUGAUAACUUCAGAAAACUGGUGCUAAUACCGGAUAGGUGCUCCUGCUGCAGGGUGGGGGUUGGAAAGUUUGGGCGGUUGGGGAUGUAUUCGGGGCUUAUCAGCUUGUUGGUGGGGUAGUGGCUUACCAAGGCUUUGAUGGGUAGCCGGCCUGAGAGGGUGACCGGCCACAUGGGGACUGAGAGAGGGAGCAGAGGCGUAUGGGAGGCAGCAGGGGGGAAUCUUGUCCAAUGGGGGGAAGCGUGAUGAAGCAACGCCGCGUGCGGGAUGACGGCCUUCGGGUUGUAAACCGCAUUAGCCUGUGACGAAGCGUGAGUGACGGUAAUGGGUGAAGAAGCACCGGCUAACUACGUG
rnacentral:rRNA from 1 species